rnacentral:rRNA from 1 species
GAUGAACGCUAGCUGCAGGCUUAACACAUGCAAGUCGAGGGGCAGCAUGAACUUAGCUUGCUAAGUUUGAUGGCGACCGGCGCACGGGUGAGUAACACGUAUCCAACCUGCCGAUGACUCGGGGAUAGCCUUUCGAAAGAAAGAUUAAUACCCGAUGGCAUAGUUCUUCCGCAUGGUAGAACUAUUAAAGAAUUUCGGUCAUCGAUGGGGAUGCGUUCCAUUAGGUUGUUGGCGGGGUAACGGCCCACCAAGCCUUCGAUGGAUAGGGGUUCUGAGAGGAAGGUCCCCCACAUUGGAACUGAGACACGGUCCAAACUCCUACGGGAGGCAGCAGUGAGGAAUAUUGAUCAAUGGACGAGAGUCUGAACCAGCCAAGUAGCGUGAAGGAUGACUGCCCUAUGGGUUGUAAACUUCUUUUAUACGGGAAUAAAGUGAGGCACGUGUGCCUUUUUGUAUGUACCGUAUGAAUAAGGAUCGGCUAACUCCGUG